rnacentral:rRNA from 1 species
UACGAAGGGGGCUAGCGUUGCUCGGAAUCACUGGGCGUAAAGCGCACGUAGGCGGCUUUUUAAGUCAGGGGUGAAAUCCUGGAGCUCAACUCCAGAACUGCCUUUGAUACUGAGAAGCUUGAGUCCGGGAGAGGUGAGUGGAACUGCGAGUGUAGAGGUGAAAUUCGUAGAUAUUCGCAAGAACACCAGAGGCGAAGGCGGCUCGCUGGACAGUUACUGACACUCAACUACGAAAGCGUGGGGAGCAAACAGG